rnacentral:rRNA from 1 species
UACGUAGGUGGCGAGCGUUGUCCGGAUUUACUGGGCGUAAAGGGAGCGUAGGCGGACUUUUAAGUGAGAUGUGAAAUACUCGGGCUCAACUUGAGUGCUGCAUUUCAAACUGGAAGUCUAGAGUGCAGGAGAGGAGAAUGGAAUUCCUAGUGUAGCGGUGAAAUGCGUAGAGAUUAGGAAGAACACCAGUGGCGAAGGCGAUUCUCUGGACUGUACCUGACGCUGAGGCUCGAAAGCGUGGGGAGCAAACAGG